rnacentral:rRNA from 1 species
GACGAACGCUGGCGGCGUGCUUAACACAUGCAAGUCGAACGGAAAGGCCCUGCUUUUGUGGGGUGCUCGAGUGGCGAACGGGUGAGUAACACGUGAGUAACCUGCCCUUGACUUUGGGAUAACUUCAGGAAACUGGGGCUAAUACCGGAUAGGAGCUCCUGCUGCAUGGGGGGGGUUGGAAAGUUUCGGCGGUUGGGGAUGGACUCGCGGCUUAUCAGCUUGUUGGUGGGGUAGUGGCUUACCAGGGCUUUGAAGGGUAGCCGGCCUGAGAGGGUGACCGGCCACAUUGGGACUGAGGUACGGCCCAGACUCCUACGGGAGGCAGCAGUGGGGAAUAUUGCACAAUGGGCGGAAGCCUGAUGCAGCAACGCCGCGUGCGGGAUGACGGCCUUCGGGUUGUAAACCGCUUUCGCCUGUGACGAAGCGUGAGUGACGGUAAUGGGUAAAGAAGCACCGGCUAACUACGUG